rnacentral:rRNA from 1 species
UACGUAGGGGGCAAGCGUUUUCCGGAUUUACUGGGCGUAAAGAGCGUGUAGGCGGCCAAGCAGGUCUGUUGUGAAAACUGGAGGCUCAACCUCCAGACGUCGACAGAAACCGCUUGGCUAGAGUCCGGAAGAGGAGAGUGGAAUUCCUGGUGUAGCGGUGAAAUGCGCAGAUAUCAGGAAGAACACCAAUGGCGAAGGCAGCUCUCUGGGACGGUACUGACGCUGAGACGCGAAAGCGUGGGGAGCGAACAGG